AGACUGGCUGAGUCUUCUGGCCUCAAUCUUUCUCCCUCACUGGAUGAUUCAUGCCUUGAACAUCAGUCUCCAAGUUCUUCAGCUUUUUGAAUCUUGGACUUACACCAGUGGUUUUCCAGGGGCUCUGGAGCCUUUGGCCACAGACUGAAGGCUGCACUGUUGGCUUUUCUACUUUUGAGGUUUUGGGACUCAGACUGUCUUCCUUGCUCCUCAGCUUGCAGAUGGCCUAUUGUGGGACUUCACUUUAUGUCUGUUGCCCCAUCAGUGCAGAAUUCCAAUGGGUCCACAAGUGUGGGCAUGCAACAAGACUCAAAGCAAGUACAAGCUCUUCCGGCAUAGCCCUCUAGGAAUUCCAGCUGAGAGCCUGCCAGUAGCCUACCAGGGCUCCUCCCCUUCCAGAUGCUGACCUCUCAUCUUUGUCACUUCCACAUCACAGACUGUCAAUAACUCCUAUAUGCUUUGGAGAAGAUGUCUACUAACUACUUGGCCUCCAGCCUCCACAUAACUCGAGAAUUUGACAAGUGUCUUGAAAGAAAAACUGAUGAUGGGUCAGGAUCAGUCUUCCCUGCUCAGUAGAUCCUUACCCCUCAAGUCUUUCCACUACUACAAGACACCAAAAGCUUUCCUGGUUUCUCUAUCUCCUCUACCUAGAGAAUACCAGGUUCUCAGACAUUAGCUCUAGGUCCAAAAUCAAGCCGGUUUUUCUUUUGCAGGGAAAAACUGGCCGAAUAGUGUUAACUCACUAGUCUUCCCCUUUCUGGAAUCUUGGCAUUUCUAGUUUUGGUUGCCCUAGCAGCUCUCCAAUGCCUUUAAACAGAUGUCUUCUGCUUCUAUUAGGCUUGUUCUUGGCUGAGGCCUUGGUCUGCUGGAAAAUACUGCCACAUACGCAGAAGUAGAAGUCUCUUGAGACAUCAUCUUAUUAGUUAUUUAUUGCCAUGUAACAAAUUACAUGGAAACUUAGUGACUUAAAGAAACAAUAAAAAUUUAUUAUCUCACAUUUUCUGUGCAUCAGAAUUCUGUGGGAUAGGAGCAGCAUAGCAGAUGGUUCUGGCAAAGAAUCUCUCAUAAGGUUGUAGCCCAAUGUUGCCUCGGGCUUGAGAAUGAGCUUCCAAAAGAGUUCACCCUCAUGACUGCCAAGCAGGUGCUGGCUAUUGUAAGAAAGUCUGUCCGUUUUCACACAGGCCUGUUACGAGUAUUUUCAUGACAUGGCAGGUGACUUCACCACAAUAAGGGAAGCAAGAACAGGAAAAAUGGAAGUGUGCAUGUCUUCUAUGACUGAGCCUUAGAAAUUACACUCUUUCCUUUCUGCAAUAUCCUAUUAGUUACGCAGAUCAGUCUUAUUAAAUGUAGAAGAAGAUACACAGAAAACAAACACCAGGGAACAGAAAUCAUUAUCAGUAAGGCCUAUCUAAAAGAAAAUUAUAUUUAAAAUAAAAUUCUUCAUAUAGAUGGAGAAAUUUAAGAAGUUGUUUUGCUGCAGUAAUGAUCAUUACAAAAUAACUACAAAGUUGUGCUUCUAGUGUUGGUUGCAAUUCUGCUCCUAUCUCAUGCACCUUCUUCAUUCAAGGAUCCAGGCUUGAAUAGCAACCUGCAUCUGGAAUAUGCUAUUCUGGUGACAGAGGGAAAUAAGAGCAAGAACCAUAGCACACAAAGGCCCUCAAUUGUUUACUUAGCUAUGGUAUACAUCACUUCUGCCUACAUUUCAUUGACCAAAGCAAGUCAUAUGGCCAAACCAGAUAACAAUGGAGUAUGAAAGUACAUUUCUCUAAUAGACAGGCACUGCUAGUACCAUGGUAAUCAUAGGGAUAUAUAUCAUAUUUCAGGGAAGUAAAGAAUGAAUAAUUAGGAUCAAUAAUAAAAUCUACCAUGAAUAUCUAGUAUGCACAAAGCAGUCAUAUAAUAAUAAAUUCUAUUUAAAAAGGGCAGCUCAGCUGGGUGCACAUAGCCACAUUUAUAAUUCUGGCUUCAGUCUUGAAAAGAAGAAAACUGUCAAACCAUUUCUACUUUUCGAGGCUUUUAAUUGUUUUCUCAUUUUUAGUCAUGUUUCAGUGAAAUACUUUGGAUAAUAUCAUGAUUACCAAAUCAGUAACUUCAUUUUUUAUUCUACUUUAAAAUUACAUUUAUUCUACUUUAUAAAUGAAGUAUGAAUCUGAUCCAAUUGUAUUCAAAUGACAUUCUAAAAAAAGUAUAUAGAAAAACAAACUGAGAACAAUCUAAGAAUGUUUUAUAAACUAUCUGGAAAGAUUGUUAGGUAUCAAUUGUGGAAAAAGAUUAGAAUCAAAUCUUAAAAUUUUUUACUUAGUAUUUUUCUAAUAAUUCAACAUUACUAAAAAUUAAAUUGAUACUAUAAUAAUUAAUGACCUUUAGUCCUGACAUGUAGAAUGUGUCCAUUCUCUGAGAUAAUACAAUGACAAAAUUAUUAUGCUUAAUACUACACCCAGAAAUAUUAUUUUUAGCAUCCAAACUAGAUUUUUCAUAUUUAUAAUUGUGCAUGGAAACAAUCUGAUAAUCAUAUUUUAAGACCAUAUAUUCUGACAUGGAGUUGCAGAACUGUGAUGAUCAUAAGCCUAUAUGUCUGAAAAGAAUACAUUGUGACUAAGACUUACACUAAACACAAAACAACACUGAUUUCUAGUAUCUUUUGCCAGAUAUACAGCUCUACUGUCCUUGUUUAGGUUUGCUGAUUCAAAUUUCUGUAAGAGUUGGGGUGGUCUUAUGAGGGUAGGAGGAAUUCUAUGCUAACAUUGGAAUGAAGCACAAGAAAAAUUAAAAGUUUUACAACCAUAUGGAAUGCAGUGACUUAUCACUUGAUAAAACAGAAUUUAACUGUUCAAGCCCUCAGCUAUGUAGUUUGGUUCAGCUCUAAUUAAUAAUAUUAAUUCCAUUCAUGUUCUUGGGUUCUAGUUUUCACAGCUUUCAUAAAACUAAUUCUAACUUUUAUACAAUUGAAUGUCCACAUAAGCCAGGCUAGCUAAUAUAUAUUAGUUUGAAAAAUUGCUUUUAUGUGAUACUUCACCCAAAUACUUUUUUUCUAUCUAAUAUCUCUAUCAACCAGGUAAGAAAUUGUUUUCACCAUGCAAUCUGUCAAAAUUACCAAUUUUACAAAAACAUUGGCAUCAAUUUUUCUUUUUCUUUUUCUUUAUUUCUUUUUUUCUGAGAUGGAGUCUGGCUCUGUGCCCAGGCUGGAGUGCAGUGGCGCGAUCUCGGCUCACUGCAAGCUCCGCCUCACGGGUUCACGUCAUUCUCCCGCCUCGGCCUCCCGAGUAGCUGGGACUACAGGCGCCCACCACCAUGCCCGGCUAAUUUUUUGUGUUUUUAGUAGAGACGGGGUUUCACCAUUCACAGGAUGGUCUCGACCUCCUGACCUCGUGAUCCACCCACCUCGGCCUCCCAAAGUGCUGGGAUUACAGGCGUGAGCCACUGCGCCCGGCCGGCAUCAAUUUUUCAACAUGCAAAACACACAUACAUGUUCUAAGUAUAUAAAAAUACACACCACUGGACAUUGAAAUUUACAGAAAUUUCUUACACUGUAAUACUAAUUGUGGCUGAAGGCAUAAAUGCCAACACAUAACUUUUCCUCCAUUAACUCUAAAUUCUUCAAUCAUAUCCUGACAUUCUUCCUGUCCCUAACAUUUUAUUUUAAAGGCACAUGCAGUGAUUUUUUUCAUUUUAAUUCAUGUAUGUAAUACACAAAUUAUGUUUUUAUAAGUCAAAAUUUCCCAUUCACUUACAUCACAAUUUUAGACUUUACUUAGCAGUGGCAUCUCACACUUUUAAGUUUUGGUUUCUUUAACAACUAAAUUUUGUUAAGUAGAUUGGUCUGCAACUAAUGCUGACAUAUAAUUAGAGAGCCACUAUUUAAAGAAACCCUUUUGAAAGUAAAAAAAUCACUUGAAACACAAGAAGUCACCCCCUGUUUCAU
rnacentral:lncRNA from 1 species